UACAGAGGUCUCAAGCGUUGUUCGGAUUCAUUGGGCGUAAAGGGUGCGUAGGCGGCGCGGUAAGUCGGGUGUGAAAUUUCGGAGCUUAACUUCGAAACUGCAUUCGAUACUGGCGUGCUUGAGGACUGGAGAGGAGACUGGAAUUCAUGGUGUAGCAGUGAAAUGCGUAGAGAUCAUGAGGAAGACCAGUGGCGAAGGCGGGUCUCUGGACAGUUCCUGACACUGAGACACGAAGGCCAGGGGAGCAAACGGG
rnacentral:rRNA from 1 species